rnacentral:rRNA from 1 species
AGCCAUGCCUUAGUACGGCGAGUGAGCGGCAAAGCUCAAAUUUGAAAGCUAGUACCCUCAAACGGUGCUCGCGUUGUAAUUUGAAGAUAGUUUCCUUGAGUAGUCCUUUAUCUAUGUUCCUUGGAACAGGACGUCAUAGAGGGUGAGAACCCCGUAUGAUUUUGGAUACUGCUCUCUGUGGGAUUCUAUCGAAGAGUCGAGUUGUUUGGGAAUGCAGCUCUAAGUGGGUGGUAAAUUCCAUCUAAAGCUAAAUAUUGGCGAGAGACCGAUAGCGAACAAGUACAGUGAUGGAAAGAUGAAAAGAACUCUGAAGAGAGAGUGAAAAAGUACGUGAAAUUGCUGAAAGGGAAGGGCUUUAGGUCAGACUUGGUGUUUAAUGAUUAUCAGUUCUUCUUGAACUGUGCACUCGUUUUUCACCGGGCCAAUAUCAGUUUUGACGGUAGAGGACCCCUUGAAAUGUGGCUCCCUUCGGGGAGUGUUAUAGUCUUGGGGAGAUCUACUUGUUGGGACUGAGGACUGCGCUUCGGCAAGGAUAUUGGCGUAAUGACCUUAAGCCGCCCGUCUUAAAAACCGGAAACAAAA